UACGGAGGGUGCGAGCGUUGUCCGGAAUCAUUGGGCGUAAAGGGCGCGUAGGCGGUGUGUCAAGUCAGGCGUGAAAGCCCCGGGCUCAACCUGGGAACCGCGCUUGAGACUGGCACGCUCGAGUUCGGGAGAGGAUGGUGGAAUUCCCAGUGUAGAGGUGAAAUUCGUAGAUAUUGGGAAGAACACCGAUGGCGAAGGCAGCCAUCUGGACCGACACUGACGCUGAGGCGCGAAAGCGUGGGGAGCAAACAGG
rnacentral:rRNA from 1 species